rnacentral:misc_RNA from 1 species
UUUCCGUAGGUGAACCUGCGGAAGGAUCAUUACUGAGUGAGGGCCCCUCGGGGUCCAACCUCCCACCCGUGUUUAACGAACCUUGUUGCAUCGGCGGGCCCGCCUCACGGCCGCCGGGGGGCAUUUGCCCCCGGGCCCGCGCCCGCCGAAGCCACCUGUGAACGCUGUCUGAAGUAUGCAGUCUGAGACAAUUAUUAAAUUAAUUAAAACUUUCAACAACGGAUCUCUUGGUUCCG